rnacentral:rRNA from 1 species
ACGCUCGACACCUACGGGAGGCUGCAGUAGGGAAUCUUCCACAAUGGACGCAAGUCUGAUGGAGCAACGCCGCGUGAGUGAAGAAGGUUUUCGGAUCGUAAAGCUCUGUUGUUGGUGAAGAAGGAUAGAGGUAGUAACUGGCCUUUAUUUGACGGUAAUCAACCAGAAAGUCACGGCUAACUACGUACCAGCAGCCGCGGUAAUCUGAGCGGGCUGGCAAGGC